AAAAAAAAAAAAAAAAAAAAAAAAAAAAAAAAAAAGCAUUUAAGGCUCAAUUCAGAUAAUUCAUAAGAUAUACUUACUUCCUCACCAUUAGACUAUUUUUUUCAAUAAACACAAGAUACUUAUAAAACCUUUAAAAUUUAUCUGAACAAGUGAUGAUAUGAUCAAAAAUUAAUGAAGAAAAAGGCUGACUCAAUUUCUCUAUUUUUUUAUUUUCCAUGAAUGUAUUUUUUUUUAACUGAUUUGACCACACUGAAUGGCUAAUUUUGGUAAGAAACAGACACAAGUGCUGUGUCGAAUAGAAUGCAGAGGAUUGCAAAGGGUUUGGAAGAGGACCAAGAAUGGCCUAAAAAAAGGUCCAUGAGGACCAAAGCACAUGAUGGUGUCUAGCGCUCAUUGUAAAGCAUAUUUUGAUACUGGGUGGCUUGUGUUCCUGAACAGCCCUGCCCAUUUGAAACCUCCCACAUUAUAACAGCACAUGGGCUUUCUUUUUCAAACAAAAUGGAAGUAGUUUCUCCCAACUGGAGCACCCUGAUAAAACCAGCAUUAUGGACAUGAUGUAUGUGCUUCCAAAUUGAGAUGAUGCAUUUUAAUUCUCUCAAUGCAUGGCAUGUACAGUGUGGUUCAACUUCAAAGGUGUUGAGUUGGCUGACUGUGUUCCCUGGGUAUCCACUGGUAGAUUGGUUCCAGGAGCCCCUGAAAAUACCAAAAUUCAGGAAUGUUCAAGUCCCGUGUAGAAAAUGGCACAGUAAGUGUAUUUAUCUUUUUCCAAAAUUUUCUGGAAUUCUUUGUAUAUUUACUGUAUUAUCUGAUUUCACCAUUCUACACAUGUCACAAAUAUUAGGUGAAAAAUUUUUUUGUCUUUUUACCUAUUCUGCCAUUAAAAUGUUUUAAUUUGUAAUGAAUGACAUUUGACAAUAUCUUUUUAAACAAUUUUUUCAUUUCUGUACUUGUUUGGAAAACUUUUUCAAUCCAUACAUUACAAAAAUAUUCUGCAUGUAUUCCCAAUUUUUAAUAUUAUUUUAAAAUGUCAUCCGAACUCUUUUUUAAUUUUUUCUUAAAUUUAUAUAGGUUAUUUGCCUCAAAAUACUUACUGAAUCAUCUAUUUCCUAAUGUGAUAAAUUAACAUACUCAUUUGAAUGAAUUAUAAACUCUAUAGUCCUUUGUGUCUAUUUCUCAACAUCAUCCAGUUACGAGUGCUGUGUGUCCCUGUAGCUUUAUAGCACAACUU
rnacentral:lncRNA from 1 species